rnacentral:rRNA from 1 species
UCUCAAGCAUAAUAAGGGCAUCUGGUGGAUGCCUUGGCGUCAAGAGGCGAUGAAAGACGUGGCACUCUGCGAUAAGCUACGGUGAGCCGAGAGCAGGCUUUGACCCGUAGAUUUCUGAAUGGGGAAACCCCACCCAAUAGGGUGAUCCUGUCGUGAAUACAUAGCGGCAGGAGGCGAACCCGGUGAACUGAAACAUCUCAGUAACCGGAGGAAAGGACAUCAACCGAGACUUCGCUAGUAGCGGCGAGCGAACGCGAACCAGGCCAGUGGCUUAUGCAUAAGAACCGGAACGAUCUGGAAAGGUCGGCCAUAGUGGGUGAUAGCCCCGUACGGGUAGAAAAUGCAUAAGUCCUCGAGUAGGGCGGGACACGUGAAAUCCUGUCUGAACAUGGGGGGACCACCCUCCAAGCCUAAGUACUCCUUGACGACCGAUAGUGUACCAGUACCGUGAGGGAAAGGUGAAAAGCACCCCGAUAAGGGGAGUGAAAUAGUUCCUGAAACCGGAUGCCUACAAGCAGUUGGAGCCUCUUUAUGGGGUGACAGCGUACCUCUUGCAUAAUGGGUCAGCGAGUUAGUCUCACAAGCAAGCUUAAGCCGAUAGGUGUAGGCGCAGCGAAAGCGAGUCUUAAUAGGGCGAUUGAGUUUGUGGGAUUAGACCCGAAACCAGGUGAUCUAGCCAUGAGCAGGUUGAAGGUGAUGUAACAGUCACUGGAGGACCGAACCCACGUCUGUUGAAAAAGACGGGGAUGACUUGUGGUUAGGGGUGAAAGGCCAAUCAAACCUGGAGAUAGCUGGUUCUCCGCGAAAUCUAUUUAGGUAGAGCGUCAGACGAAUACCUUCGGGGGUAGAGCACUGAAUGGGCUAGGGGGCCUUACCGGCUUACCAAACCUAAUCAAACUCCGAAUACCGAAGAGUACUAUCUGGCAGACAGACUACGGGUGCUAAGGUCCGUGGUCGAGAGGGAAACAGCCCAGACCGCCAGUUAAGGUCCCAAAGUUGUGGCUAAGUGGGAAAGGAUGUAGGACGGCCAAGACAACCAGGACGUUGGCUUAGAAGCAGCCAUCGUUUAAAGAAAGCGUAACAGCUCACUGGUCUAAAUAAGCUGUCCCGCGCCGAAGAUGUACCGGGGCUCAAGCCACACACCGAAACUGCGGACUUGUUCUUUCUCAAGCCACACACCGAAACUGCGGAUUUGUUCCUUAUGGAACAAGUGGUAGCGGAGCGUUCCGUAAGCCUGUGAAGGUGAACCGUAAGGUUGAGCGUUCCGUAAGCCUGUGAAGGUGUGCCGUAAGGCAUGCUGGAGGUAUCGGAAGCGAGAAU